AAAAACCUGUCAGUUAAGCUAAUUAUUGCUGAAGUCUGUUAUUAUAUCAAAAUGUCAUUUGAGAAUUGUGUAAAAUUUUAUGUAAAACACAAUUUUACACGCGCGCACACAUACACACGCACAGUAGUUACUGCACAUGCCCGAGAAAUUAAUUCAAUUGAAGUGAAAAUCUAGAGCGAAAUACCAUUUCAUAGAUUAAAUUCCAUUUGCAGGUCGUGAAAAUGUAGGAAGCCGUGUCGUGCGUACUAUGUGCGUACAUGUAUGUGUGCGUGCGGUUGUUCUCGACCUCCCCAAUGGUGAUUGCUUGUAAUGAAUUGUAAGCAUGUGUUAGAUGAUUGAAGUAACAACAACAAUAACAUGAACAACAAUUCGAGUAGUAAAAUUGGAAAGAAUAGCAGAAAUUCGAAACAAUAGCGUCAGCAAUAACAACAACAACAACAACAACAACAACAGGAACAGUACCAAGAAGAAGAAGAAUAUAAAUUGAGCUACAAUGUGUGGCAGCAGACAAUGAAGUAUACUUUCGUGCAUAUUUUCGCCCAACAAGCAAACAACACGUACAAAACAUCAAAAUUGUUUGUAAAAUGAGUGUAGCAGAGCCGAUGCGGUUUCCUCAAUGGACGUGCGGAGGACGUCUGGUGGUUCUAAGGGGUUGUAGACGGCCAAACCAACCAAUAAUUGAGCCUAUACAAAUAAAUUGAGAAAAGUUCAAUAAAUGAAAUGAACUGCCAGUACGGGUAAGGUGAAAGAGUGACGGGCAGUUGGUAAAAAGGAAGGCAGUGAACUGUGCGGCAGAGUUCAGCAAACAUUCAUUGUUGGUGAAGGAUAGUCAUACCAAAGGAAGGGAGGGGUACGAAGGUGGAGUGGAGGAUUGCCAAAACAAAAGCGAAAGUGUUUUCCAAUCAGUUUGUUGGAUACUGAGAGCCAUUGUCGACCGCACUGUUGUUUAACACAAAAAUAUUGUAGAAACAGUAACAGAAGGGGUAGACGCAGCAGCGCUGGAAAAAUCAAAUAAACGCAAACUACGAAUACUUCAGCCGAGACAGCCUGUAAACAGCGCUUGUGAAGUUGGAAGGAAUAAUAAAAGUAAACAACAACUACAACAACAAUAACAAAGUGUUUAUUGCUUACAGUGUUACAGUAAGCAAUUGUUAAGCAGGAAUAUUGGUUGAUGAACGCUAAAAAAAAAUUAAAGAAUAAGAAGAAGAUGGAGAAAAGAAGUGAGAGUGUGGUGCGUAGGAAAGAUAUAACGGAAGCUGUGUACAAAGUGUAGCACAAAAAACUGGAUCUGCGAAGGCGGACGCAUGUAAGCUUCAUCAAUUUUAUGCCACACGCGUAUUUGCCACACAAAAAAAGCAUAACAGCAACAACAAGUGUAAUCAAAUGUAAACAAAAGCGUCACAUAAUGCAUACGGAAAUACGCGCACGCACAUAAAAACCCGUUAGCCCCAGCUGCCAACUCUUACCCCCUUGCAACACCCCCACAUAUAUGCACACACACACACACACAAUAAACAAAUAUUUUUCGCAGCUAUUCAAUCGACGUAUGGCUGCCUCACGUGAAUAUUUUUGAUGAAAUGCUGAAGAAGAAGAAAAGGAAACAAAACAACAUGAGAAAGACCGCAACAAGCUGCGCACAACCAUAACCACAAAAACGCACGCAUGCAACAAUGUAAAUAUUCUAAGCAAUAGAAUUAGAAGAUAUGCAUGCGUUCGAAGAAAAUGAAAAAUUCAUAAUAAAAAAAAAAUAAAAGAGAAAUAAAAUACUUUGUGGUUUCGCGCGCAGCUGUUCGUGGCCAAACUAAGAAGGCGGAAGUUGCGGAAACGCUUGUUAUUGCCACAGCCAUUAAGUUGCACUAGGAAAUUUUUGGCACAGAUUUCGGCAUCUGGCAUGAAGCUCAAGGGGCACAAGUGUGCAGAAAGCACUGAUUGUAAAUGAAUGGUGGACUGGCCGAUAAAUUAUGAUUAAAUAGAACCUUUGGCAGCAAAUAAAUUAUAGUAUAAAUGUGCGUUGAUGAUUAUUCCGAAAUAAAUAGCCUUCUAUUGUUGUUUGACUGUAGUACAAAAAAAAAAAAAUUAAAAAAAAUCAUGAAAGUUUAUGGCCUAUAACAAAAGCCUUCUGAGAACUCUGGAGGAUUUUUGCUAGAAAACGCCUAUAUGUAGGCCACGUUUAUAAUUUUUUGGCAUAUCACAGAUUUAGAAGAAGAGGGCGUUAGAUUUCUCAAGCUUACUAAUGAAUUAAGUUCGGCGCUAAUUUGAUUCUUAGCUGACACUUGCCGCAAUUUUAAAAUAAAUGGUUAAAAGUCUGCAAUUUGUAUUGAUUGGUUGUUCAUAAUUACCUUAAAUUUUAUUUGCUGUAUAGCUACUGGCAGCAAAGGUCCUAUGUAAAGGUAACAUCCGUCAUAUUUUAUAUCUGUGAUUUUCCAGAAUCCUUUACACCUAUUAUUAUGCUACGGUUUAUCGUGCUUCCCUAAGCCAUGAAAGAACACACGCAACAGUAUAAAGUGUAUCA